UUUGAAAUCUGGCACUUGUGCCCGAGUUGUAAUUUGUAGAGGAUGCUUUUGGCGACGCGCCUUCCGAGUUCCCUGGAACGGGACGCCAUAGAGGGUGAGAGCCCCGUCCGGUCGUGCGCCUAGCCUCUGUAAAGCUCCUUCGACGAGUCGAGUAGUUUGGGAAUGCUGCUCUAAAUGGGAGGUAUACGUCUUCUAAAGCUAAAUACCGGCCAGAGACCGAUAGCGCACAAGUAGAGUGAUCGAAAGAUGAAAAGCACUUUGAAAAGAGGGUUAAAUAGUACGUGAAAUUGCUGAAAGGGAAGCGCUUAUGACCAGACUUGGGCGCGGCGGAUCAUCCGGCGUUCUCGCCGGUGCACUCCACCGCCCCAGGCCAGCAUCAGUUCGCGCCGGGGGACAAAGGCUUCGGGAAUGUGGCUCCCUCGGGAGUGUUAUAGCCCGUUGCGUAAUACCCUGGUGCGGACUGAGGUCCGCGCUCUGCAAGGAUGCUGGCGUAAUGGUCAUCAGUGACCCGUCUUGAAACACGGACCAAGGAGUCGUCUUCGUAUGCGAGUGUUCGGGUGUCAAACCCCUACGCGGAAUGAAAGUGAACGUAGGAGAGAGCUUCGGCGCAUCUCCGACCGAUCCUGAUGUUCUCGGAUGGAUUUGAGUAAGAGCAUACGGGGCCGGACCCGAAAGAAGGUGAACUAUGCCUGUGUAGGGUGAAGCCAGAGGAAACUCUGGUGGAGGCUCGCAGCGGUUCUGACGUGCAAAUCGAUCGUCAAACAUGGGCAUGGGGGCGAAAGACUAAUCGAACCUUCUAGUAGCUGGUUUCCGCCGAAGUUUCCCUCAGGAUAGCAGUGUUGAACUCAGUUUUAUGAGGUAAAGCGAAUGAUUAGGGACCCGGGGGCGCUAUAUUGCCUUCAUCCAUUCUCAAACUUUAAAUAUGUAAGAAGCUCUUGUUGCUUAGUUGAACG
rnacentral:rRNA from 1 species